AUACGUAGGGGGCAAGCGUUAUCCGGAUUUACUGGGUGUAAAGGGAGCGUAGACGGCAUGGCAAGUCUGAUGUGAAAACCCGGGGCUCAACCCCGGGAUUGCAUUGGAAACUGUCAAGCUAGAGUGCAGGAGAGGUAAGUGGAAUUCCUAGUGGAGCGGUGAAAUGCGUAGAUAUUAGGAGGAACACCAGUGGCGAAGGCGGCUUACUGGACUGUAACUGACGUUGAGGCUCGAAAGCGUGGGGAGCAAACAGGAUUAGAUACCCUGGUAGUCCACGCCGUAAACGAUGAACGCUAGGUGUCGGGGGGCAAAGCCCUUCGGUGCCGCCGCUAACGCAUUAAGCAUUCCACCUGGGGAGUACGUUCGCAAGAAUGAAACUCAAAGGAAUUGGCGGGG
rnacentral:rRNA from 1 species